AAAGACUUUCAAGGUUAAUCCUUUGAAUCAACAGCUCUUUAUCUCAUUUGUUUCACACGUGUGCACAACCACACAUACACACAAAAUUAAGAUGGAAUGUUCCAGGCGUUUGUUUUCGACUGUCUUUAUCCUUGUCCUCCUUCUGGUGGCUAUUGGAACGAGGCCAAUGGUUGCUGAGGGAAAGACAAAAGGGAAGCCGUCGAAGAAUGUGAAGCUGUCGAAGACCUGUGAGUCUCCGAGCCAGAAGUACCCUGGUAUUUGUAGGUCAAGCUAUUGUGCAGCUAUAUGCAAACAACAGGGACUUAUGGGAGGCAAAUGCACUGGCUUCCGGAGAAAAUGUGUAUGCACUAAAAAAUGUUAAGUCAUAAAAAACUAACGUAUGUUUGGAUGCAUGCAUGGGAACAAAUGACUUUUUUAUUUUUUUUUGUUAUGUUUGUUUGAAAGAGAAUAAAUGACUGAACCCUAAUCCACCAUGGGGGUUUCUGUCCUUGUUUUGUUUUAAUAAAAAAAUAGCUUUGUAAUAAAAUUAUCUAUGCAUUAGUGAAUGCAUUGCAGUGAUAUUUUUAA